CUGAUGUUCAAACCUUCUUAACCU
rnacentral:piRNA from 1 species